rnacentral:rRNA from 1 species
GACGAACGCUGGCGGCGUGCUUAACACAUGCAAGUCGAACGGAAAGGCCCUGCUUUUGUGGGGUGCUCGAGUGGCGAACGGGUGUGUAACACGUGAGUAACCUGCCCUUGACUUUGGGAUAACUUCAGGAAACGGGGGCUAAUACCGGAUAGGAGCUCCUGCUGCAUGGUGGGGGUUGGAAAGUUUCGGCGGUUGGGGAUGGACUCGCGGCUUAUCAGCUUGUUGGUGGGGUAGUGGCUUACCAAGGCUUUGACGGGUAGCCGGCCUGAGAGGGGGACCGGCCACGUUGGGACUGAGAUACGGCGCAGCCUACUACGGGCGGCAGUAGUGGGGAAUAUUGCACAAUGGGCGGAAGCCUGCUGCAGCAACGCCGCGGGCGUGAUGACGGCCUUCUGGUUGUAACCCGCUUUCGACUGUGACGAAGCGUGAGUGACGGUAAUGGGUAAAGAAGCACCGGCUAACUACGUG